rnacentral:rRNA from 1 species
AGGAGCGAAAGCAUGGGUAGCGAAGAGGAUUAGAUACCCUCGUAGUCCAUGCCGUAAACGAUGUGUGCUAGACGUUGGAAAUAUAUUUUUCAGUGUCGCAGCGAAAGCAUUAAGCACACCGCCUGGGGAGUACGACCGCAAGGUUAAAACUCAAAUGAAUUGACGGGGACCCGCACAAGCAGUGGAGCAUGUGGUUUAAUUCGAAGAUACGCGCAGAACCUUACCAACACUUGACAUGUUCGUCGCGAAACUAAGAGAUUAGUUUCUUCAGUUCGGCUGGACGAAACACAGGUGCUGCAUGGCUGUCGUCAGCUCGUGUCGUGAGAUGUCAGGUUAAGUCCUAUAACGAGCGCAACCCCUAUCGUUAGUUGCCAACAGGUUAAGCUGGGAACUCUAACGAGACUGCCGGUGCAAACCGCGAGGGAGGUGGGGAUGACGUCAAAUCAUCACGGCCCUUACGUCCUGGGCCACACACGUGCUACAAUGGUCGGUACAGAGAGCAGCCACUACGCGAGUAGGAGCGAAUCUUCAAAACCGAUCUCAGUUCGGAUCGCAGUCUGCAACUCGACUGCGUGAAGCUGGAAUCGCUAGUAAUCGGAUAUCAGCCAUGAUCCGGUGAAUACGUUCCCGGGCCUUGUACACACCGCCC